GCAGGCCUCCCUUUGGGAGGCCCGCGCGACGGGCUAUUAGCUGCAAAGGCAGAAGGGAGCUUGACUGCAAGACUCACCCGUCGAGCAGAGACGAAAGUCGGCCUUAGUGAUCCGACGGUGCCGAGUGGAAGGGCCGUCGCUCAA
rnacentral:ncRNA from 1 species